CGAGCACCCAAGGAGCAGAGCAAAGCCAAGCACAGCCCACACCGCCCAACCGCUCCUCUGCACAGGGCUCCGUUUGGCUGCAAAACUGGGCAAGGCCAGCUGGGGACAGGCCCUGGUGCCAGGAGGCACCAGAAAUUUCCUGACGUUCCUCAAAGAGGGGCAGGCAGCUGAGGCCGUUGCAAGAGGAGGAGUCCCGCAAGCCUUCCCUCUAUGGGGCUGAGCGUGCUGACCCCAACCACGCUCCCACGCCAGCGUCAGCCCCGGGGAUAACAGAGCCUAGCGAUGCUGCACCGUGCCACAAACCCCCGGGUGGAAUGGACAUCACAGCUGCCCCAGGGCUCGGCGUGCUGCAGCUCUUAGCCCACAGCAGAGACAGGGAUGGAGCUGCUCCAGCAUAGGCUCUGCUGGUCCAGCCUGCUUUUGCAGCCUGCUCUUCUCCAAAGCUGCAUCCCUGAAGAUGCUGAAGUCAGGCUGUUAUUGCAGAGGAAACCUGUGGAGAGAGACACGUGGGGUUUGAGGAUUAGCUGCUGAAACAGAUGGGAAUUUCCCGGAGCAAGGAGCUGAGGAGGGCAGGGAGGGCUCCUAUGCAGCGGGGCUGCUGCCAGCCACGUGGGCUGUGUGAGGACCCUGGGAUGCCCACUGCCUCCCCACAGCACUGCUGCUGACUCACAUCUCCGCGGGGAGCGGCACACGGCAGCUGUGCGCCCACCCCCUGCACUGCGCACCAGAGCUGGGCACCGGCAUGCUGCAGGGCUGGCAGCCCGUCCUGUUUGGGGACGGUGUCUCC
ensembl:lncRNA